AUGGUUAACAAAUAACCAAUAAAACUAAAAUAUAUAGCCCUACAGCAGUUAUUUAAUAUUUGGUUUAUGUCCAUGCGCAAUAUUCGUAUUUUAUUAUUGCGUAAUAAAAUAAAGUCGUUAUUUGCUCCGCCGACAUAAUCCCUAAAUUAAAUAAUAUAAAACGAAAAAUUAUCUACUUUACUUAGAUAUUGUCUGUGUUCCGUAUUACAUUAAAAGAUAAAUAUCUCAUGUACAGUGCCUACCCACGAGUGCAUU